rnacentral:ncRNA from 2 species
AAAAAUUACCCGGCCCGGACACUGGGAGGAUUGACAGAUUGAGAGCUCUUUCUUGAUUCGGUGGAUGGUGGUGCAUGCCUGUUCUUAGUUGGCGGAGCGAUUUGUCUGGUUAAUUCCGAUAACGAACGAGAUUCUAGCCUAUUGAAUAGGUGCGUGGGUGAUCAUGCCUUUUAUAGGUGAGUAUUUAAACACAAGAUAUAGAUACAACGAGAAUAUUUGAGCAUCUUCAACUACUUUUGGAAUUACAUCUGGCUUUCUCAACAUCUUUAACUUUAAUUUAACCCCAGGUAAGAAAAGAAAAAGUGUUUGAGCAAGGAGUGGGGUGGAUAUACACCAAGAACCAAGGG